AGGGUCUAGAAAGUGAAUCCUUCAGGGACAAGAAGAAAAACCUGUUCCCAUCAAUCUAGUAGGUCUGCGUGAAAAUAUUGGAACAAACACCCUGAGUGCUUGGACCAAAUUUAGCAUGAAGACAUGACUUCAGUGCUGUUGGCUGCUUUGCUGUUGCAUCAAGUUGUUUGGUCUUGUAGGUCAGAGAGCUGAUGCUGAGGAUGAGAGCUUCCAAGGUAUUUCAGAGAGAGAACCCCAAUUGCUGCCUCUGGGCUCAACGGGAGAGACGCCUGCCUUCUGCAGACGUGUGAGUGAAGGAGCAGAGAAUCAAGGAGAGCUUGCCUUUGUGUGGGGAAGACUGAGAACUACUGACAGAGGACACUGCAUUUCAUCAAAGGGAUCUACAAAUGCAACACAGCUUGUGUCAAUGGAGCUGCAUGUAUCUGGAGACGAGUAGAUUUGAUUUCAGCAGAGAUAUAGCCUGAAAACUGAAGGAAGAAACUAUUCCUAGUAGAAAGCAGCAUGUGUAACAGCAAUAAUGGUAUGAAUCAGUCAUUUCCCUUCUCACUCCUCCAACUCCAUCUGCUGAUCACUCAUAUGAGAGCUCUAACGGCAGAGCUGCUGCUAAGGAUUGUUGAAGACAUGGAACCGUGAAAGCCUUCUUGUCAAGCCUCCAAGAGCAAAUAGCAGCAGAGAUGAGAUUUUAAAUACAUUAGUAAUAAUACCGUAUUGAUCUCAAAACACUUUACAAACAUUACCUAAUUAAGCUUCAAAACAGUGAAGUAAGUUUGCAUUAAUAAAGCCCAUUUAGCAGAUGAAGAAGUAGAGGUAAAAAAAGGGUAAGUGAAGUGACCAGGGUCAAGUGGUGAGUGAAGGUCAGAGAAAGGUGUCCUGAUUUCUAGUUGUUCUGCCUUUCAUGUGGUCUCAUUGAGAAAAUUUUUGCAGUGAAGCUUGCAGCCAUUUCAAAUUGAAUCGUUUGGAAUGUUUUAUCACAAACCUGAGCACUUCUUACAAGAAUCAAGAUGGUAUAAAACCUCACAAAAUUAAUAAAUGUGU